UACGGGGGGAGCAAGCGUUGUUCGGAUUUACUGGGCGUAAAGGGCGCGUAGGCGGCGCAACAAGUCACUUGUGAAAUCUCCGGGCUUAACCCGGAGCGGCCAAGUGAUACUGUCGUGCUAGAGUGCGGAAGGGGCUACUGGAAUUCUCGGUGUAGCGGUGAAAUGCGCAGAUAUCGGGAGGAACACCAGUAGCGAAGGCGGCACUCUGGGCCGGUACUGACGCUGAGGAGCGAAAGCGUGGGGAGCGAACAGG
rnacentral:rRNA from 1 species